GAUGAACGCUGGCGGCGUGCCUAAUACAUGCAAGUCGAGCGAACAGACGAGGAGCUUGCUCCUCUGACGUUAGCGGCGGACGGGUGAGUAACACGUGGAUAACCUACCUAUAAGACUGGGAUAACUUCGGGAAACCGGAGCUAAUACCGGAUAAUAUAUUGAACCGCAUGGUUCAAUAGUGAAAGACGGUUUUGCUGUCACUUAUAGAUGGAUCCGCGCCGCAUUAGCUAGUUGGUAAGGUAACGGCUUACCAAGGCAACGAUGCGUAGCCGACCUGAGAGGGUGAUCGGCCACACUGGAACUGAGACACGGUCCAGACUCCUACGGGAGGCAGCAGUAGGGAAUCUUCCGCAAUGGGCGAAAGCCUGACGGAGCAACGCCGCGUGAGUGAUGAAGGUCUUCGGAUCGUAAAACUCUGUUAUUAGGGAAGAACAAAAUGUGUAAGUAACUAUGCACGUCUUGACGGUACCUAAUCAGAAAGCCACGGCUAACUACGUG
rnacentral:rRNA from 1 species